AUUGAACGCUGGCGGCAGGCCUAACACAUGCAAGUCGAACGGUAACAGGAAGAAGCUUGCUUCUUUGCUGACGAGUGGCGGACGGGUGAGUAAUGUCUGGGAAACUGCCUGAUGGAGGGGGAUAACUACUGGAAACGGUAGCUAAUACCGCAUAACGUCGCAAGACCAAAAAGGGGGACCUUCGGGCCUCUUGCCAUCGGAUGUGCCCAGAUGGGAUUAGCUAGUAGGUGGGGUAACGGCUCACCUAGGCGACGAUCCCUAGCUGGUCUGAGAGGAUGACCAGCCACACUGGAACUGAGACACAGUCCAGACUCCUACGGGAGGCAGCAGUGGGGAAUAUUGCACAAUGGGCGCAAGCCUGAUGCAGCCAUGCCGCGUGUAUGAAGAAGGCCUUCGGGUUGUAAAGUACUUUCAGCGGGGAGGAAGGGAGUAAAGUUAAUACCUUUGCUCAUUGACGUUACCCGCAGAAGAAGCACCGGCUAACUCCGUG
rnacentral:rRNA from 1 species